UACGGGGGGGGGCAAGCGUUGUUCGGAAUUACUGGGCGUAAAGGGCUCGUAGGCGGCCAACUAAGUCAAACGUGAAAUCCCUCAGCUUAACUGGGGAACUGCGUCUGAUACUGGAUGGCUUGGAUUCGGGAGAGGAAUGCGGAAUUCCAGGUGUAGCGGUGAAAUGCGUAGAUAUCUGGAGGAACACCGGUGGCGAAGGCGGCAUUCUGGACCGAUAUUGACGCUGAGGAGCGAAAGCCAGGGGAGCAAACGGGG
rnacentral:rRNA from 1 species